ensembl:lncRNA
GGAUAGCUUCUUCUCCAUCAAACAGAGCAGAAUAUUUCUACAUUUACUACUUCCGAAGGCUACAAAUUCCUGGAAGUUUUUUUUUAAAUGUAAUUGUUCACAUGAAACAAGUUGCAAGUACAUGCCAAUAGAAAGCUGUCCAGUGCUGAAGGUGCUGAAAUCGAUCAGCAGCAAGGUCUGAGAGAAAGUAAGACAGUCCAUUUUAUGAGAUGUGAUAUUAAAAUACUAGACUAGCAAAUAGAAGGCAAGAGGAAAAGACCUGAGCCCUAGGAUCAUGCUUCAGGACUACCUGGCCUGAUGACUCCUGGCUGUCCACAGUCCACCCGGUCGUGCUGCUGCUCCAGUUUCAACUGUUCUGCCUGCGGCUAGGGAACCCUGACCUGUUCACCGGACGUGCUACCUUGUCCCGGACCUGCUGUUUUCGACUUUCUCUCUCUCUACUGCACCUGCUGUCUCGAACUCUGAAUGCUCGGCUAUGAAAAGCCAGCUGAUAUAUACUCUGUGAGGUACUGACCUUUUGCACCCUCUACAACCACUGUGAUUAUUGUUUGACCCUGCUGGUCAUCUAUGAACGUUGGAACAUCUUGAAGAACAAUCUGGCCAUAAAUGGCCAUGUACCCUUAUAAUCUCCACCCGGCACAGCCAGAAGAGGACUGGCCACACCUCAGAGCCUGGUUCAACUCUAGGUGUCUUCCUUUUUCCUAUCCACUGUGCUUCUACAUCUGCAAUGCUUGCUGUUUUGGGUUUUAGGCUGGGUUUCAGUAUAGCACUUUGUGAAAUCUGCUGACAUAAAAAGGGCUUUAUAAAUACAUUUGAUUGAAAUUUGAUUGAUUGAGCGAGAGAGCACAUGGUGUGAGCACAUGUAAGUAGACAGACAGUUGGUUGCAGUGUCUUCAUGUUCAAAUCAAUUCAAAUUUUAUUAGUCACAUGCGUGGAAUACAACAGGUGUAGGUAGACCAUACAUUGAAAUGCUUACUUACGAGCCCCAACCAACAAUGCAGUUAAAAAAAAUAUGGAUCAGAAUAAGAAUUAAAAAUAACAAGUAAUUAAAGAGCAGCAGUAAAAUAACAAUAGCGAGACUAUAUACAGAGGGGUACCGGUACAGGGUCAAUGUGCGGGGGGAGGUCAUUUGUACAUGUAGGUAGAGCAUGACUAUGUAUAGAUGAUAACAGAGAGUAGCAGCGUGGUGUAAAAAGGGG